rnacentral:rRNA from 1 species
UACGUAGGGUGCAAGCGUUGUCCGGAAUUAUUGGGCGUAAAGAGCUCGUAGGCGGUCCGUCACGUCGGCUGUGAAAACCCGGGGCUCAACCCCGGGCCUGCAGUCGAUACGGGCGGACUAGAGUUCGGCAGGGGAGACUGGAAUUCCUGGUGUAGCGGUGAAAUGCGCAGAUAUCAGGAGGAACACCAAUGGCGAAGGCAGAUCUCUGGGCCGUAACUGACGCUGAGGAGCGAAAGCAUGGGGAGCGAACAGG